CUUCCUCUGCUCACCUGCCCCUCCCUCGAUCCCUCUGACCUCCAUCCCCAACUCUUCUGGCUGAUUACUCCUAAUGUAAUUUUAAUUAAAAACUGUGGUGUCAAAGGGUUUAGCCUGCCUGAGAAGCGGGUGCAGAUUGUGGCACAGUGGCGGACCCCUUCACUUGCUUGAGAGGAAAUGCAUCCUGACAUCGCUCGGGUGGUGCCAACCAGACGAGAGCCAGGAUAAAUCAACAACCAGCAAUAAAGGAAGGUGAAGUCAUCAAGCUGCAUCUUAGUCUGAUGUCAUGAUGCACGUAGUUGACAUUGACAAUAAUUGCCAGAGCCAAAUGUCACAGGGGUGACCUGCCGAAGGUGCCCCACAGCAGGAUUCAACAGCAGAGGUCUGCCUGUGGGUUUGUAAUCCCCUCACCCGAGCCGUUGGAUUAUCUGCUCUCCGUCGACCCUGAAGAGGCUCCCCACGGCUCGGGCUUAAACACUCUCUAAAAUCUCAUCUCCACACCCCAUCUGCCGGCUGAGCGAUGUCUUGGAAGUCGCAAAUACGAAGGAGUGGGGAAGGAGGCAGACUCUGAACACUCCUCCUUCUCGCUGGGGCUCUGACCCAGAGAGAAGAGGAGACUUCAGCAAAAUGCAUGCUAAUUUUGCAUCAGAAACAUUUUUAAGAAUCAGUUUUUGUAUUUAAUGUGUAUAUUUCCCACUGUAGCACAAUUUAAAAUCAGUCCUAGUAUUUGUUGAAAUAAAGACUAAAUCUUCCUUGUUGCAACACA